rnacentral:lncRNA from 1 species
CCCGCUUUGUUGUGAAUCUGAGGAAAGCAGUAUAGACCAUCUGCCGGGAGCUGAGCGGAGAGCGAGGCGAAUUUGGAAUCCGCGCCAUGGUGAGCGAGGCCGCCGUCCCCACGCGGGGAGGAUCCGCGGGGUCCCAUGUGGGGUUGUCCUGGGGUGCGGGCACCGGCAGCGAGAUGUGGCGACCUUCGUAAUUGCGUUUGUCACCUGAGUUCCCUUAUUCUCCGGUGUGGAAGCAUCACCUCCCAAUGAGACGGUUCCCCGGGCUGCGCCGGCGCACAGCAUAGGAAGCUAGAGAUGAUGCUUGGACACGGGCAUCCUUCAGCGGGCACGCAUGCGCGGGUUUUGUUGUCAGUGGGAGAGAUUUGCUGACUGGCAGAGCAAAUUCUUUUCUUUAGUGUCUUUCUAAAGUUCUGUACCUGGCACUUGACAUUCGGGUGUAGCAUCCAUCGCAGUUAACUCUGCACAGUGUAAAGCCUGUGUCAUUAACACAUUCUCAUGUAGAUGCCACGGUGGUCCAGUCACGUGUGUUAGUAAGGCCAGACUCACUGUGAUUCCCUGCAUAAGUUGUCCAAAUCGACCUAGUAUUAAUUGUGUUUUUGUCCUAAGUGUUCUCUCAUGAUCUGUCGGUCUCAAACAGCACAGUCUUUAUGGCAGGUGUAGGGUAAUUUAGAAGUCAGACGGUGUCACCGUGCUGUUUAUUCAGCCUUGUGUGCUCAUGUUUUCAUUCAUGAUGACCUUUUGUCAUCGGCUUUCUGUCGCUCAUUGCAGAAAUCGUUAGACUCUUUAGUGGACGUUUGUUGAAUCUAUAGCUCAGAUUCUGUACUGAAACAAUACUGAGACUAAUUGUCUAGAGUCAUAAGAUUUCUCUCCUUUGACCAAGUUCUUUGAGUCUUUUAAUUACGAAAUGAUAAUUUUGGCUACAGAUACUUGUCAUAUUGUCAUAUAUGUCUUAUUGCUGUUUUAUCCAUGGUGACAUAUAAGAGAUAUGGAGAUCUUUAUUUUUAAUUUACUAAAUUUAUUUCAUGUGCAUGAGUGUUUUGCUUCCGUGCAUGUGUGUUCAUCACUUGGGUGUUUGGAGUCCAUAGAAGACCAAAGAAGCCAUUAGAUGUUCCCCACCAGGAUCUAGUGAUCAUUUUGUGUCAUCAUGUUAGUGCUGGAAGCCAAACCCAGCUCUUCCACUAGAGCAGAAGUCUUAGUUGCUGAGCCAUCUCUUGUGUCUUAAACUUGACAGACUUUCAAAAUUUUACAUGUGAGUGUGCCCAUUUCACAGGCUGAAAACUGAGGGUUAAGGUGAUUGAGGUUUGUUAAAAGUCUUGUGUUUGGGAGUUGGGAGAUGUCUCAGAGGUACUGUUUGAGACUCGGUCUGUUUGACACAAGCUAGAGUUAGACUGUCCUGUGGGCAAAUGUGUAGGGUAUUCUCCUGAUUAAUGAUUGAUAUAAUAGUGCCCAUCCCACUGUGUUUGGUGCCACUGAGGGCAGGUAGUUCUGAGUUGUAUAAGAAAGCAGUCUUAGCAAGCCAUAAGAUCAGGGUAGUUUCUUAGUCAGAGUUCCAUUGCUGUGGAAGAGGCACCAAGACCACAGAUAGCAUCACUUAUAAAGAAAAUCAUUCAAAUAGGGCUCUCUUCCGUUCCAGAAGUUUAACCCAUUAUUGCCACAGUGUGGAUUAUGGGUAUACAUAGCAGACAUGGUGCUGGAGAGGUAGCUGCGACUUCUAAAUUCAGAUCAGCAGGCAGUCUGGGUUGAGCAUUUUAAACUGCCAAGCCCACCUUUUCUGACCGACUUUUUCCAACAAGGCCACACCUACUCCAACAAGGCCAGAGAUCCUAGUACUUAUCAAGUAGUACUAUUCCCUAAUGGCCAGACACUGAAAUCUAUGAGCCUUUGGGUACCAUUCUUACUCAACCGACCAUAAGCAGUAAGCAGCAUUUACCAAGUUUGCAGACUAUGUGGGAUGCAGAAGCCUACCCUUUACGGUUAUAUAAUUUAGC